rnacentral:miRNA from 1 species
CAAAUCCUGCGGCACACUCGUCAC